UCUAGUUGACUUGAAUUUGGGGGCUGGUUUUUCUGAAAAUUGUUUUCAGCAGAAAACUUUUUCCCUCUCUUCAAACCCACUCCAAUUCUUAUCAAAUUCACUUCAAUCUUGAGUUCUACCACUCAAAUUCAAGCCUGAGAAUAUUAGAGAAGAUCUCUUGGUGGUUCAUUGAAUAUUUGGAGCUGAGAUUUCGUGAGGAGCAAUUUUGAUUGGAGGAAUUCAUCAAAGUUGAAAGUUUUCCACAAGGGUGAUUCCAUCUAGUACUUUGAAAACACUUAUAGGAUGGAGCAAUCCGUUUAUGAGUGAUUGUACCGACCAUCGUUGAGCAAUCGAUGUUAAACAUUUGUGCUUAUUGGAGGCCUAGAGUCGAACAUGAGGGAGAAUCAACAAGGAAAUCAGACCACGCCGCAACCUAUGAACUCUGAAAAUUUUAGGGGAGUUCUCUGUUACCUUUUAUUUUUAUUCCCAUGCUUUAUCAUUUUUGCACACUGAGGACACACAAUUUCUAAAAGUUAGAGUUGGUUGGAUGUUGUCUGUGAUCUUACAAGAGUCCUUGAGCAUCUGAGCUCGAACUAUAUGUAUCUGAAAUGCAUGUUUUCUUAAUUGCUUGUUUGUUUUAUUAGGACAGUUGAUGAGACACUUUCCUUGUGAUUGCUUUUGCAUGAGAUAAUAUUUAAACAAAAUAAUCAUGAUUUUUAUCCUUACUAAAAAAAAAUCUUAACUCUCAUACAUGUUUAAGUCCUUUGUUCAUCUACAUUAGGUAUUUUAUGCUUAAAGUUGUAUUAUUUGACCUAUAUUUUUGUUACAUCAAAAGACCUUGGUGAUAGAUGUUAAGUUAUCAGAACACUCAAUUUAGUGAUACAUGUAUAGGGCUUUAACUAACCAACCUCCUUAUUUAUCUAGCUGGAAAACAAUGAUGAGAAAAAAAAAUGAAAGAGAAGAAAUAAGUAUUUAGGAGAGGAUUACUCCUCUUUCUUGAGGAUGCAAGUAGCAAGAGACGACUAUGACAUUCGUAGUUUUCACUAUAUGAAAGUGCCCUUGAGGAAUGAGUAAGCUAUGUGCCUUUAAAAGACUUGCUUCCCGUAAUUGGAUGAUUAUUUAUGUAACCCUUGUAAGCAAGCCAAAACGAAAAUGGUAUGUCCAAAUGAGGUCUCUUCUCCCAAGAAAUAAAUAAGUAUAUAAAAAAGAAGAGGAUAAUGGAAGGAUUGAAAUAGGUUAAGUUUAGUCAUGUCACUGCCACUUUGAGUCUAGAAACCCAUCACGCAAGAAGAAUGUGUGCGCAUAUUUAAUUUUACACUUUUAAGUGCAAUUUUCUACAUCGGCAAAAUUAAUUUUGAAUAUUCAUGUUAAAAGUCAUUUUAAAAAUGAAAAAAAUAAUUUUAACUAUUUUAAAAUUGUUGCUAAACACGCCUGUUCGCCUUGUGAUUUUGAUUCUAAAUGUGCUUAAAAUGAUGGAGGAGAAUUGUGAUGAAUGAAUAUGUUGGAUGGAGAUGGAUGAAAGAAUGGUUUCUCUAUAGGUAAGAGAAUCAGGGGAUGCAUUGGUAGUGGAUGCGUACACACCUUGUGAAUACAUACAAGUUUUCUUAAGUCAAACUCAACUAUAAAUCUAACGUAAGUUUUCUGGUAAGUCCAGGGUCAAACGUAUGGUCUCUAGAAUGCUUCAAAUGCAGACCUUGUUUUUGGAUCUAAUAAAAAAUUUUCCUAAUUAACUUGAGAAAUGUUGGUUAUUUACACGGAACUAAUGACACGCAUGCAAGAAGAAAUAGGAGUCCAGAAGGAGAAAGGGAUUUAUGGAUGAAUAGUUCUAAGUGUAAGUAGUAUGCAUUGAUUUCUUGUUUAGUUUAGCAAAUAUAUAUGAAUGCAAUGAAGAUGAGAUGAAGAUGAUAAAUAUGCUUGUUUACAAUCUAAAUAUAUGUUCUAUGCAUUGGAAAUUCUAUUCUAUAGUUCAUGCUAAGUUCAGCAUCUCUCGAUGUGAAAGCCACAUGUAAUCCUAUCUCUAGGGUGCAUACGUUGGUCAUAAAGAACACAGGCAAAAGACGUAAGCAACUCUAUCUCUAGAAUUAUGUCGCGCUCUGACUUAAUGCGUUCAAUAGUUAAAUUUCUCUCUCGAGUGACUUAACUUAUUAGUUACUUUAAUCAACUGAUCAGAGAUACUUAAGCAACAAAUUUCAUACUCUCAUUAAGCCAGACAAUUUCACAAACACAUACAAUUUCAAAGGUAAAUAGAUGAAGAUGUGAUAAAUGGUCAAAUUUGAGAUUGAAUUAAAGAUAACUAGUGUUUAUAUAUAAAAUCUAAGUUUAAUGAAAUGAAAUAGUGAAUAGAAAUGAAUGUGAAAAGUAAAAGUCAAGCCAGAGAGUCUAAUCUCUUGUCCUUUUUGGCUUGUUUUUUAUGCUUGCUACAAUCAAUGUGGUAGAGAAGUUGAAGAAGAUAUCUUUAUCAAGCUUCUCUCCAACAAUACCUCUUGAUCAACGGUUAAAUGGUAUCUUCACCCCUAUUACUUGCUUGCAAACGAUAGAUGCUAUCUACUGGUGCUAAAAAGAAAAGUUUCUAACUGAAUGGCUCUAAAUUGUCUAACUUUGAUUCUGAAGGUGGCUUUUCUAUAUAUAGGCAAACCUCAACAACUUGGUGAUUGGACUUGCAUUAAAUUCCAUACCUUGGAGCAGUCGCCUGCCACUUCUCAAAUAUUCAGACGUCGCCAGUCAGAUGCAUAUGCCUGCAAGUGGCGAUUUGACAGAAAAUGCACGAGUCAAUGUGCCCUUCAUGCGUCAAAUAUUCUCGGAUGCAUACCCCUUGCAUUGGCCUUGGUUGCAACACUUAGUAAAUUUCUUUGAUUUCUGUAUUGAGAUGCAAUAGUGAAGCAAUUUUUUACGUAAAAAAGAUACUUUUGUACGAGUUUACUAUAU